GAGGCGGGGCCGCGCCGGGGCGGGGCUGCGGGGGUCUCGCCGGGGCCGGCCCGGUGAGUCCGCGGCCCAGUCCGUUCAGAAUCUGCUCGGCAGGCUGUGUGCUCAGCCGGAACCCAAAGCUCAUUCUUCUCGUUCUCGGACAAGCCAAGAGUCGGACUCUGAUUCAUUUCUGCGCACAGAACAGAGCCCGGUGCCCUAAGGCGCUCAGCGAAUGCUAAUAGGACAGAUGGAUGAAUGGAUAAAGUCCCAUCUCCUUGUGAUGAGCCCCCAGAAAGCCGAGGAGUGAAGAUCUACCGGCACACCAUUGGCUUCCAGAGAAGGUGUUCCUCUUCGAGAACAGGGGUAGACCCGCUGAUGCUGCUUUUUCUCGGCAGUGGAGCUCAUUCGUUUACCUUUGGACACACAUGUGACCCCUGGACCCGUAGCAGCCACUUGACAACGAGCAAAGUCAGAAGCAGAUCCUGACCCUUCCAUCCUGGAGCCACUGGAUCAAGACACGGAAUCGCCUGCCUCCAGAUUCCCUGUGGAGCAGGAAAAGCAAACCCCCUUGGCUGUGUAAGCCAGUGCUGGUCAAUUCUUCUGUUACUUACGGAACUCCUGACCGACAUAUAUAGGCAUUCAACACGUGUCUGUCACAUAGAGAAACCCAGCCUGACUCUCUCCUUCCUCAUCAGUGGCCAUCCUAUUUGGGCCCCAUGAUCACUGACACGAAAUUCACCACGCAGUGAACCAGUCCGGGCAGGUUUCAUAGCUCUGACUCGUAGAAAGGUUUGUCCUAUAUGAAAAUAAAAUGUCGGGACCUCCCGGAACCUCAGAAAAUAAGCCCAAUCCCUGUCUGCCACCACAGUCCUAAUAGAAAGAGAGCAUUCAUUCAAUAGGAAAAUAAAUCAGGGCUCAAUGACCCCAAA